AGAGUUUGAUCAUGGCUCAGGAUGAACGCUGGCGACGUGGUAUAAGGCAUGCAAGUCAAACGGUCUUUAUUUCUUGCUUGCAAGAGAUAAAGGCAGUGGCGAACUGGUUAGUAACACGUAGAUAACCAACCCCCUACACGGGGAUAACCUGGAGAAAUCCAGGCUAAUACCCGAUGGUCUGAAAUUUGAUCUUAGAUUAUUUAACAAAGUAAUUUGAGAUCAGAUUUCAGUAAAGGUUUAUUCCGGUAGAGGAUGGGUCUGCGCCCUAUCAGCUAGUUGGUGAGGUAAUAGCUCACCAAGGCUAUGACGGGUAGGCGGAGUGAGAGCUUGACCGCCAACAAUGGCACUGAGAUACUGGCCAUACUCCUACGGGAGGCUGCAGUCGAGAAUAUUGGUCAAUGGGCGAAAGCCUGAACCAGCGACGUCGCGUGUAGGAAUAAGAUCUUCGGAUUGUAAACUACUUUUAUAAGGGAAGAAUUUUUUAAUGACGGUACCUUAUGAAUAAGGGGUGACAAAACUCGUGCCAGCAGUAGCGGUAAUACGAGUGCCCCGAGCGUUAUCUGGAUUAAUUGGGCGUAAAGGGUCCGUAGGCGGUCUGUUAAGUUUUCCGUUAAAUCUCCAGGGCUUAACCUUGGAGCUGCGGAAAAAACUGGCAGACUAGAGGAUGUUAGAGGCUAGCGGAAUGUCUGGUGGAGGGGUGAAAUCCGUUGAUAUCAGACAGAACACCAAAAGCGAAGGCAGCUAGCUGGGGCAAUCCUGACGCUGAGGGACGAAAGCGUGGGGAUAAAAAAGGAUUAGAUACCCCUGUAUUCCACGCCCUAAACGAUGAGCACUAGCUAUUGCAAGUGUCGACCCUUGCAGUGGCUAAGCUAACGCGUUAAGUGCUCCGCCUGGGAAGUACGGCCGCAAGGCUAAAACUCAAAGGAAUUGACGG
rnacentral:rRNA from 1 species